GGAUGUGAGGCCGAUCUUCCUGCGACAUCUGUCACCCCAUUGAUCGCCAGGGUUGAUUGGGCUGAUCUGGCUGGCUAGGCGGGUGUCCCCUUCCUUCCUGACCGCUCCAUGUGCGUCCCUCCCGAAGCUGCGCGCUCGGUGGAAGAGGACGACCAUCCCCAAUAGAGGAGGACCUUUCUUUGGUCAAGGGUAUACAAGUAGCUACGCUCCCCUGCGUAACCUCCAAACAAGCUCUCGUUUCUUUGGUUCAAAAAUAACCUGACAGAGCAAUUAGUAAAUGGUUUAUUAUUAUAAAACCCUUAACAUU
rnacentral:snRNA from 1 species